AUGAGGCACAGAGACGAAUCAGAGCUCACGAGUUCAUGUUUAGAGGAAGUGUUUGUGUGUGUGUGUGUGUGUGUGUGUGUGAGUGUGUGUGUGUGUGUGUGUGUGUGUGUGUGUGCAUGACUUUUGGCUUCAGCAUCAGUCCGACAUCUUUAUUAAUGCAGUGGAGAUGAAUAUGGAGCUGAGCUUCAUGGCGCAGAGGAAGUGGCCUGUCUCCUCCGCUUUUUGUUCCGCGAUAAUGAGCGAGCCAGAUGCUGGAGUGUGAAAGAGGAGUGUGUGUGUGUGUGUGUGUGUGUGUGUGUGAGGAGGAGGGACAUCACACCACAUCACUCCUGUCCUUCAUCUACACCAUCAACACGUCAGGGAGUAAAACCUCUUCACCACCACAUCACACCUCAUCAGUGCAGAGAUGAUCCUCCUUCAGCGUCCACACCUGCGAUCUGAACCCACACUGUUACUCUGAGCUUCAUCUUAUAAAACUACAUCUGUAAACAUCAUGUGCAGUUUCCAAGUCCUGGUUGUAGGACACAGUUGGACUGUCGAGACCUUUCUGGAAGUUCAGCGUCCCGCUGCUCUGUCUACAUCUGAACAACAAAAGGUGGAAGAAGAGGGCCUCAUCAACACCUCGAGCGGCGCCAUAAUUAACCGACUCCUGAGGUGGAUGAUAACAGGCUCAUGAUCUCCGCAGAGUUUACGCUGCCUUCAAGUCAGAAAUAUCAUAAUUAUGAGGUGAGCGCAGUUGAAUGACACGACAAUGCCAUAAUUACGACUCAGGAACUCGUUUCUGUCUAUGAACAAGUUCGGGGGCGUGUCAAUAACGAGAAGUCAUGGCGGCUGCUCACAUGAACAUGACGCUUACAGCAGGAGUAAAGAGAGAAACGGACAGCAGUGGAGAAGAUGGACAAGGACAGAGGGACAGAUUAGCUGAAGGUUACUGAGAGCGCAGAACAGCAGGAUGGACACGCAGUGAGACAACUGGAACUAUGCCAACCUCUUUCUCUCUCUCUCUCUCUCUCUUUCUCUCUCUCUCUCUCUCUCUGCUUGUCUCUCUUUCUUUGUCUCUCAAUCUGUGUGUCUUUCUCAGACACUGAAUUGGCAGCCACUUAGAGACAGGGAGAGAGUCAGAGAGAAUCAGAGAGAGACAGAAAGACAGAGAAAGAGAAGAGACAGACAGACAGUUAGAAAAGAGAGAGAGAGAGAGAGAGAGAGACUGACAUACAGAGAGUCAGAUAGAAAACGAGAGAAUCAGACAGAGACAGAAUGACAGAGAAAGAGGAGAACCAGAGAAAGAUAGACAGACAUACAGAUAGAAACAGAGAGAUAGAGAGUGAGAGAGAGAGAAUUCACUUUAAAAAAAAAAGUAUUGCAUCAAAAUUGGAUAAUUAAGGGCUCUUAUUUUCCAAAAAAAAAAAAAGGUUCUACUUGGAACCCUUUAUGUUAGAGAACCACUUUGUAGGGUUCCACCAGAUGAGCAAAGAACCUCUGGACUGUAAUUGACUGUGAUAAAUAAUGAAACUGUACAAUGUGUAUAAUGUUCAACAUCACUCAGUAUCAUGCCAUUCCUCACAUUCCUGAAGGGUGCCAAUAAUUCUGCACUAUGCUUUUGAUUAUUGUAAAUA